AGUGAACGCUGGCGGUAGGCCUAACACAUGCAAGUCGAACGGCAGCACAGUAAGAGCUUGCUCUUACGGGUGGCGAGUGGCGGACGGGUGAGGAAUACAUCGGAAUCUACUUUUUCGUGGGGGAUAACGUAGGGAAACUUACGCUAAUACCGCAUACGACCUACGGGUGAAAGCAGGGGAUCUUCGGACCUUGCGCGAUUGAAUGAGCCGAUGUCGGAUUAGCUAGUUGGCGGGGUAAAGGCCCACCAAGGCGACGAUCCGUAGCUGGUCUGAGAGGAUGAUCAGCCACACGGGAACUGAGACACGGUCCAGACUCCUACGGUAGGCAGCAGUGGGCAAUAUUGGACAAUGGGCGCAAGCCUGAUCCAGCCAUACCGCGUGGGUGAAGAAGGCCUUCGGGUUGUAAAGCCCUUUUGUUGGGAAAGAAAAGCAGCAGGUUAAUACCCCGCUGUUCUGACGGUACCCAAAGAAUAAGCACCGGCUAACUUCGUG
rnacentral:rRNA from 1 species